rnacentral:rRNA from 1 species
UACGUAGGGAGCAAGCGUUGUCCGGAAUCAUUGGGCGUAAAGCGCGCGUAGGUGGCCCCAUAAGUCCGCUGUGAAAGUCAAAGGCUCGACCUUUGAAAGCCGGUGGAUACUGUGGGACUAGAGUACGGAAGAGGCGAGUGGAAUUCCUGGUGUAGCGGUGGAAUGCGCAGAUAUCAGGAGGAACACCGAUGGCGAAGGCAGGUCACUGGGCCGCAACUGACGCUGAGGAGCGAAAGCAUGGGGAGCGAACAGG